ensembl:lncRNA
UUUUUUUUUCUUUCUUUUUUUAUUUUUUCCCAAUAAAUUGUCUGCGCCGCACAGUGUUUAGGCUGCAAAUUUUUCUGAUGUAUUUGCCAUACUGCAGCAGGGCUCAUAUGUCAGGUGGGUUUUUUUAUCAGUGACGCCUUUUCUUGAUGGCAGUGAAACCUUUUUCUGAUGGCAUGCAACACUUCAUGAAACUCAUCCGGUACUAGUACUGCAACCAAAAACAAUGGACAACCAGUGAGAUGAAAUAUGCAGAUCUAGUGCAUCCUUAUGAACCUUUUGACACACAAAGCACUGGAAUAUCCAUGUCCUGAAUGGUCCCUGCUGAACAGAGAAGAUGACCUCUAAACAGAGGUAAGUAUUUCCAUACUGUGCUGGUUAUGCAUGAGAUGGAGUUAAAUUUCUUCCCAGUAGGGCUAUGUUUUGGAUUUGUUCUGAACACAGGGUUGAUAACACAGGGAUGUUUUUAUAAUUGCCAAGCAGGUCUCACACAGAGCCAAGGCCUUUUCUGCUUCUCAAACACCCACAUCAGCAACCAGGCUGGGAGUGCACAAGGAGAUGGGAGAGCACUCAGCUGGGACAGCUGAUCCCAGCUGAUAUUCCAGACCACCAUGCUCAGUAGAGAAAGUGGGGUGGAAGCAGGAGGAAGGGGGGGAUGUUUGGAGCGAUGGUGUUUGUCUUCCCAAGUCACCAUUACACAAGACGUGGCCCUGCUCUCCUGGAGAUGGCUGAACAUCUGCUGCCGUGGGAAGCAGGGAAUUAAUUCCUCGUCUUGCUUUGCUUUCAUGGGCAGCUUUUGCUUUUUCUAUUAACCUGUCUUUAUAUCAAUCCACAGGUUUUCUAGCUUUUAACCAUCCAGUUCUCACCCCAGUCCCACUGGUGGGGAGUGAGCAAGUAGCAGUGUGGGGUUUAUCUGUUGACUGGAGUGAAGCUAUAACACAUACUCCUGGACAGUGUAUUUCCACUUCUCUUUGAAAUAGUUGGCCUUUCUUAACUGCAUCACACGGUUAGAAGUGCAGUGCACAAUCUUUUUUUUUUCUCUCAGCUAUUACCAACUUCUGUGACCUGUACAUCGUGUAGAUUUAUCUUUCUCUGGAUCUAUUAAAUUCCCUCUAAUUAUUGGGAAUUUGGGGUUGUUGUUUUGUUUGGAGUUUUUGUGUGUUGCAGGGGGAGGGUUUGUGUGUUUUUCUGUUGUUGUGAUGUGUCAUUCUUCUCUGCCAAAGUCCUCCACACAUUAUUCCUAUGUGGUUUAUUCCCUCAGAAACUCUAGCACCUUUCACUGUUUUGGCACUUCAGCUCUAUUCUUGUUCAAUCUGUUUGUUUGUUUGAUUGUUAAUAUAGCCAAGCAUGACAUUGCAGCAAUGAAAGUUCUUCCACCUCUCACAUUCUACUCAGUUGUGACACUAACUGUUUGAGUUUUAGAGGGCAGUUGUUUUCUUUAUCCAUUGCACUGUACUUAAUAAAUUGAUCUUCUAUCACUGGUAUGUCAAAACAUGUUUUAAAGCUCAUACAGUGGAAAUCUUUUCAUUUUAUUAUUUUGAAACAGUUUUUUCUAUUUUUUUUUUUUAAGAACUGAAUCAUUGGAAUAGUAGUUCUGCUUCCUAUAUCUAUCAUAACUUCAGCAUUCUGAUCAGUGAUUUCACUACUGUCUGCAUCAUUAAAAGCACACUCUGCAGGAAGCUGGAGGUAAUGCUUGCAGUCUCUUCAUCUAAUCUCAUACUCAAAAAUGCAUCUGAUUACUAACGUGUCAGCUUGGUCUAACUUUCUGUGAUAUUCCCCUAGUCUAGUUCUGUAAUGAAACUCCACUGAGUAAACACCUCCUGUAAAUGUGCCCUUCUAUCUUGGGUAAAAUUAUAUCUGUACACACAUAUAUAUAUAUAAAAUUUUGUAUCUUGUCAGCAUUGCACACUUUGUGCCAGUGUGCAGAGUUUCAUCCAAGCAGAACUAAUAACCAUUAAAAUCUGGAAGCUGACCACAGAUCAUCCUAAGCACAGCAAUGAUUUCAAGAAUUGAAAUAAGGGUGAAGAUUCCCUCCACCUGGAAAAACUCGUUCUCCAGCUGUCUAGUUCUGAUUCAGCCUUGCUGUGACAUUCACGCUGGCCACUCCUCAAGUGGUUACUCAGUGAAGAUGUUGUUUUGUGCAGUUUUGCUUCCUUUAGUCUAAAGAUGGAUUCCUUUUGCAAGGUAGGUUGAUUUCUAGAUGAACUGUAGACUAGAGAGCUGCUGAAUUUAAACACUGACCUUUAGCUUUCCUACCACCUCCAUUGAUGCACAAUUUCAUUUUAUUCAUAGUGAGAUUUGAAAAACUAUUUUUGGUAUAAACAGAAAACAUUUCCUUAAGUCAGUAAUGUAGCAAAUUGGCCCAUUUGAUCAGUUUUGCUUGAUUUGUUUUAAUAGAAAUAAACCUCACUGCAGCCAGUUUGGGGGAAAUUUGUCAGCUACUCUUUUUUUUUAAAUGUAGAAAUUACUCCCCAAGAAGAUUGAUGAGUUUGAGUUACAUGAUGUAUUUGCUGAAGUUCACAUUAUUUUUUCUUUUGUUAUGGACAAAUGUCUUGAUCUAACUUUCUGUGGUUCACAAGAAAAGACAUAUUUAGCCUGUAUCUAAGCUUAAUCUAUUUUAUGUGGUAUAGAGGAAAGAGGGUAAAUUGCAGUUGAGGUAAACAUUUGAAUAAUUAAAAUAAUGCUCCAAAGAUAAAGUGAUACCCUAAUGCUGUGGUACUACUCUGAUAAUAUGGGUAUGAAUGAUAACUACAGUUUCAGCUCUGACUCCAAAAAUCCUUCAUAAUAGUGCAAGUAGCUGCACAAAUUUUUAGCAUGUGGCAGCACACUAAGUUACUAAUGCUUUGUGAGUAAGUGUGAUCAGUUAUAAAAGCUAUAAAAGCUGAUAUCUUUAUUAAAUUGAACUCCUCUUAUCUGCUUUUUGGCCAUCCUUUCUUUCUAAUGCCAAUAUUUGUGCAUCAGAGGAAGCAUGGAAACUGUGCAGUUGUUCAUUUGCAACAUGAUGAUCAACCAGUGCUGUUGGCUUGCUGCCAUUCAUUCCUCCCCUACAGUGUAGGUGUCGAGCUGGCAAUCCCUGAGCACAAGUCAUGAGAAGCGGUGCCAUGGGAAAAGGGAUAGCCAAAGGGAUAGCCAAAGACACUGCUUAAGAGCAAUGCACAGGAUAAAUCAGCUUUAGUGGGUGCACUAAGAGAAGAGUAGAACUAAUUUCUACAUCUUGAAUCUGAAUAACAUGUCAAUUCAUUACACAGGAUAUGAACAAAUAAGUAAUUCAAAUAGGAGCUGUCUAUUAGUGGGGAAAAAAAUCCAGUAGUAUUUCUGUGGCUGAGCAGUGCAGACAAGAUUGCUGAAAUCCAUUGUGCAGAUCACUUGAACUGCUCUGAAACUUGUAAUUUUUAUAUUUGUUAAUAUUUUGGCAACUUCCUCCACAUGCGGUUAACCCUAACAUUAUUUGUCAUCUGAACUUCUUACAGUAUUUUACUGUUAUUUCUAUUGGUUUUCCCCCCCUCCACGCAGCCCCCCGAAUGAAUCCGACUAGCUCAGAGAUAUGGGGCUGUGAGGGGAGGAAAUAGCAGAAGAGGGAAAGGUAUUCGGAAGAGGCUCUUACCCAGGGUGUUGGAACAGCUCUCUUUAUUCUGUGGUGUCCAUGGAGAGCGGGGCAAAAGAGAAAGAGCAGGAAGUUUCAGGGGUCUAUAUAGGUUUUGGACAGGGUGGGCACUCCUGGCUCCCCGCCAACCCCAUUGGGGCAGGAGGGAGGAUUCAGGGGUUAUCAUGAUCAGAGCCACAGAGGCCCUAGGAAAGGGGGGACAAAAGGAUGUCCAGGAGCUCACCGUAACACCUCCCCCUUAUUUGUUAAACAAGGUUACAGGAAUUCACUGGGCUCAAUUCAACCCCGAGUAUGGGUUUCCCACCACCCCAUGUUGGUGGCGUGGUCAGGCCUCCUCAGGUUAGCCAACUCUAUGUGGUUGACCUCUGAGGUAGAAGGUAUGAGGCCCUUGAUAGCUUUGAAAAUCAAGUGACGCAGGAUCCCGAACGCUAGGGUUACAAAGAACAGAAUAACAAAGACUAACAAAAUUGAUCUAACUACAGAUGUCCACCACCCCGCGAAUCCCCAUCCCUUGAACAUUCUCUUCAGCAUUUGCAGGAUGACAACUUGCAUGGGGUUCAUCACAGGGUUGAGUGGAAGGUAGGUUUUCUCUAAAAGGGAAGAACAAACAUUUUAAGAACAUGUUAAAGCUUCUGUUUCUGCCGGAAGGAAUUCCUGCCUAGGAACUUUCUUCUUCUCCCAUCCGGCGGCGUCUUCUCUUUGAAGCAUCAGAUACCUGCUUCUUGUCCCCUUCUGUUUGACCUGGAUUCUUGGGGACAAAAGGUUUCACCCACUUCUGGGGAAUCCACCGAGGGCCUGAGGGAGUAGCUACACACGCAUAGCCACGACCCCAGGUCACAAGUUCAUAGGGACCCUUGGUUUCCCAAGUUUCUGGAUCCCUGAUCAAGACCGGUGGAUGCUGAGACAAUUUAAACUGCUUGCCACUGUUAAAGUGACGUACAACAGGUGGACUCAUGUUUUCGAAUGAACAAUUCAGAAAAUUGAUAGUAAACAUGGCUUUACAGAGCCUCUUUCGUGGAGACAUCCACAGAGCUGAGCUGUUUUGUUUUUUCAAUACCUGCUUGAGCGUCUGGUGUGCACGCUCGACUACAGCUUGACCUGUGGGGGAGUGGGCAAUGCCAGUCUUAUGUUCCACUCCCCACUGCUGGAGAAAUUCCAGGAACUCCUUGGAUACAUACGCUGGGCCAUUAUCUGCUUUGAUCGUUUUUGGCACCCCCAAUACUGAAAAUGCUUGUACUAGGUGUUGUUUGACAUGUGCAGCCUUUUGUCCUAUAUGGGCAGAGGCAUACACUGCACCUGAGAAUGUGUCCACGCUUACAUGAACGCAUUCAAGGCGACCAAAACUCUGAAUGUGUGUGAUGUCUGUCUGCCAUACCUCACAGCUGCUAAGGCCUCUGGGGUUUACCCCCAUGCCUAAGGAUGGCACGGCGUGGAGCUGACAAUUAGGACAGUUGGUCACAAUGGCUCGAGCCUGACUCCGUGUUAGCUGGAACUGCCGAAUCAAACCUGGCACGUUCUGGUGGUAAUGCUGGUGACUCAGCUUUGCCUGUUGGAAAACAUCAGGGAGACUUGCCUUUUCAACUGGUGCAGCGAAGGAGUCUGCUUUUCGGUUCCCCUCUGCAAUCUCACCUGGCAAAUCAGUGUGUGACCUCACAUGCAUCACAAAGAAUGGAUGUUCUCGGUGCGAGAUUAAAUAAAUUAGCCUUGAGA